rnacentral:rRNA from 1 species
AUGCCCGCUCUUGUGGACGGUUAUGUAGAGGAAGCCAGCGAGGGUCUGGGGCAGCUUCAUGCGGUUGGCGGGGUCGGCGAUGAGGUCGCGCCAGGGCACGGAAACGCACUUGAAGCGGUGCACAGAGCUGGCCGGGAGGCGGGAGAGGAUCUCCAGGAUGAGAUCAUCGGUGAAGAGGCUGGCCGCCGUCGGCCCCGGAUGGUCGUCCAGCCUCGGCUUGGUGUUCCGCUCGAGGAUGUCCCCCUUCUCCGCCUCCUCCAUGGAGCAGAAUCUGGAGUGCUUCGUAGGAAGGCCAGUGGACAGGGGUCAGGCGAGCUCAGGUCGAUAUGCACACGGGAUGGUGAAAAAUCAUCGAUCUGCAGAUGGGGAGAGGAAGAUCUGUCGGUGCUGCGUUGUGGGUACCUGGACGUACGGGUCGAUCUGCCGAUGGAGAAAGAGGAGAUCGUCGAUCUGCCUAAGGAAAAUCGAUACGCCGGUGGUGGGUACCACCUCGACGACGACGGCAACGGUUAA